rnacentral:rRNA from 1 species
CGGACGGGUGAGUAAUGCUUGGGAAUCUGGCUUAUGGAGGGGGAUAACUACGGGAAACUGUAGCUAAUACCGCGUAGUAUCGAGAGAUGAAAGACUGGGACCGCAAGGUCAGUUGCCAUAAGAUGAGCCCAAGUGGGAUUAGGUAGUUGGUGGGGUAAAGGCCUACCAAGCCGACGAUCUCUAGCUGGUCUGAGAGGAUGACCAGCCACACUGGAACUGAGACACGGUCCAGACUCCUACGGGAGGCAGCAGUGGGGAAUAUUGCACAAUGGGGGGAACCCUGAUGCAGCCAUGCCGCGUGAAUGAAGAAGGCCUUCGGGUUGUAAAGUUCUUUCGGUGAUGAGGAAGGUGUUUGUUUUAAUAGAACAAGCAAUUGACGUUAGUCACAGAAGAAGCACCGGCUAACUCCGUGCCAGCAGCCGCGGUAAUACGGAGGGUGCGAGCGUUAAUCGGAAUGACUGGGCGUAAAGGGCACGCAGGCGGUGACUUAAGUGAGAUGUGAAAGCCCCGAGCUUAACUUGGGAAUUGCAUUUCAUACUGGGUUGCUAGAGUAUUUUAGGGAGGGGUAGAAUUCCACGUGUAGCGGUGAAAUGCGUAGAGAUGUGGAGGAAUACCGAAGGCGAAGGCAGCCCCUUGGGAAAAUACUGACGCUCAUGUGCGAAAGCGUGGGGAGCAAACAGGAUUAGAUACCCUGGUAGUCCACGCUGUAAACGCUGUCGAUUUGGGGAUUGGGCUUAGAGCUUGGUGCCCGUAGCUAACGUGAUAAAUCGACCGCCUGGGGAGUACGGCCGCAA